AUUUAAGUAGUUUAAAAAAAAUUUUGAUUUGUGGUGUCAAAGAUACAAAAUUUAUUGUCUUAAAUC
rnacentral:tRNA from 1 species